UACGUAGGGGGCAAGCGUUGUCCGGAAUCAUUGGGCGUAAAGAGCGUGUAGGCGGCUCGAUAAGUCCGCUGUGAAAGUCCAGGGCUCAACCCUGGAAAGCGGGUGGAUACUGCCGGGCUAGAAUCCGGAAGAGGCGAGUGGAAUUCCUGGUGUAGCGGUGGAAUGCGCAGAUAUCAGGAGGAACACCAAUAGCGAAGGCAGCUCGCUGGGACGGUAUUGACGCUAAGGCGCGAAAGCGUGGGGAGCAAACAGG
rnacentral:rRNA from 1 species